CCUACGGGAGGCAGCAGUGAGGAAUAUUGGUCAAUGGGCGCGAGCCUGAACGAGCCAAGUAGCGUGAAGGAUGACUGCCCUACGGGUGGUAAACUUCUUUUAUAAAGGAGUAAAGUGAGGCACGUGUGCCUUUUUGUAUGUACUUUAUGAAUAAGGAUCGGCUAACUCCGUGCCAGCAGCCGAGGUGAGACGGAUGAUCCGAGGGUUAUCCGGAUUUAUUGGGUUUAAAGGGAGCGUAGAUGGGUUGUUAAGUCAGUUGUGAAAGUUUGCGGCUCAACCGUAAAAUUGCAAUUGAUACUGGCAGACUUGAGUACAGAUGAGGUAGGCGGAAUUCGUGGGGUAGCGGUGAAAUGCUUAGAUAUCACGAAGAACUCCGAUUGCGAAGGCAGCCUACUAAACUGCCACUGACAUUGAUGCUCGAAAGUGUGGGUAUCAAACAGGAUUAGAUACCCCAGUAGUC
rnacentral:rRNA from 1 species